rnacentral:misc_RNA from 1 species
UAGAAUAAACUUGAACAGGCUGUUGCUCUUUAUUGGUGCACGCUUGUCAUAUUUAUCUUCUCCAACUGUGCACACAUUGUAGACCUCACAGUCUAUGUUAUUUUUAUCACAACCUCUGAAUGUUUUGAAUGUUUUGAAAUUGAUGGAAUGUUAUA